UACGUAGGGUGCAAGCGUUGUCCGGAAUUAUUGGGCGUAAAGAGCUCGUAGGCGGCUUGUUGCGUCGGCUGUGAAAACCCGCGGCUUAACUGCGGGCUUGCAGCCGAUACGGGCGGGCUGGAGUUCGGUAGGGGAGACUGGAAUUCCCGGUGUAGCGGUGAAAUGCGCAGAUAUCAGGAGGAACACCGGUGGCGAAGGCGGGUCUCUGGGCCGAUACUGACGCUGAGGAGCGAAAGCGUGGGGAGCGAACAGG
rnacentral:rRNA from 1 species